rnacentral:rRNA from 1 species
UACGUAGGGUGCGAGCGUUGUCCGGAAUUAUUGGGCGUAAAGAGCUCGUAGGCGGCUUGUCGCGUCGGAUGUGAAAGCCCGGGGCUUAACUCCGGGUCUGCAUUCGAUACGGGCAGGCUAGAGUGUGGUAGGGGAGAUCGGAAUUCCUGGUGUAGCGGUGAAAUGCGCAGAUAUCAGGAGGAACACCGGUGGCGAAGGCGGUUCUCUGGGCAUGACCUGACGCUGAGGAGCGAAAGUGUGGGGAGCGAACAGG